GUUUGAUCCUGGCUCAGAUUGAACGCUGGCGGCAUGCUUUUAUACAUGCAAGUCGAACGGUAACGCGGGCUUCGGCCUGGCGACGAGUGGCGAACGGGUGAGUAAUACAUCGGAACGUGCCCAGUAGUGGGGGAUAGCUCGGCGAAAGCCGAAUUAAUACCGCAUACGCCCUAUGGGGGAAAGCGGGGGAUCGCAAGACCUCGCGCUAUUGGAGCGGCCGAUGCCAGAUUAGCUUGUUGGGUGGGGUAAAGGCUUACCAAGGCAACGAUCUGUAGCUGGUCUGAGAGGACGACCAGCCACACUGGGACUGAGACACGGCCCAGACUCCUACGGGAGGCAGCAGUAGGGAAUUUUGGACAAUGGGCGAAAGCCUGAUCCAGCAAUGCCGCGUGUGUGAUGAAGGCCUCGGGUUGUAAGCACUUUUGGUAGGAACGAAAAGGUCUGUGCUAAUACCAUGGAUCGAUGACGGUACC
rnacentral:rRNA from 1 species